rnacentral:rRNA from 2 species
UGGGGAAUUUUGGACAAUGGGCGAAAGCCUGAUCCAGCAAUGCCGCGUGUGUGAAGAAGGCCUUCGGGUUGUAAAGCACUUUUGUCCGGAAAGAAAUGGCUCUGGUUAAUACCUGGGGUCGAUGACGGUACCGGAAGAAUAAGGACCGGCUAACUACGUGCCAGCAGCCGCGGUAAUACGUAGGGUCCAAGCGUUAAUCGGAAUUACUGGGCGUAAAGCGUGCGCAGGCGGUUGUGCAAGACCGAUGUGAAAUCCCCGAGCUUAACUUGGGAAUUGCAUUGGUGACUGCACGGCUAGAGUGUGUCAGAGGGGGGUAGAAUUCCACGUGUAGCAGUGAAAUGCGUAGAGAUGUGGAGGAAUACCGAUGGCGAAGGCAGCCCCCUGGGAUAACACAGACGCUCAUGCACGAAAGCGUGGGGAGCAAACAGG